UACCUGCAGCUCAAGUAGUGAUCGCUAUUAUUGGGCCUAAAACGUUCGUAGCCGGUUUGGUAAAUGCCUGGGUAAAUAGUGUAGCUUAACUAUACGAAUUCCGGGUAGACUGUCAAACUUGAGACCGGGAGAAGCUAGAGGUACUCCUGGGGUAGAGGUGAAAUUCUGUAAUCCUGAGGGGACCACCAGUGGCGAAGGCGUCUAGCUAGAACGGGUCUGACGGUGAGGAACGAAGCCCUGGGGCGCGAACCGGAUUAGAUACCCGGGUAGUCCAGGGUGUAAACGCUGCUUGCUUGAUGUUAGUUGGGCUCCGAGCCCAAUUAGUGUCGGAGAGAAGUUGUUAAGCAAGCUGCCUGGGAAGUACGAUCGCAAGAUUGAAACUUAAAGGAAUUGGCGGGGGAGCACAGCAACGGGUGGAGCGUGCGGUUU
rnacentral:rRNA from 1 species